rnacentral:rRNA from 1 species
AUUGAACGCUGGCGGCAUGCUUUACACAUGCAAGUCGAACGGUAACAGGCCGCAAGGUGCUGACGAGUGGCGAACGGGUGAGUAAUGCAUCGGAACGUGCCCAGUCGUGGGGGAUAACUACUCGAAAGAGUAGCUAAUUCCGCAUACGAUCUAUGGAUGAAAGCGGGGGACCGUAAGGCCUCGCGCGAUUGGAGCGGCCGAUGUCAGACUAGGUAGUUGGUGGGGUAAAGGCUCACCAAGCCAACGAUCUGUAGCUGGUCUGAGAGGACGACCAGCCACACUGGGACUGAGACACGGCCCAGACUCCUACGGGAGGCAGCAGUGGGGAAUUUUGGACAAUGGGCGCAAGCCUGAUCCAGCAAUGCCGCGUGCAGGAAGAAGGCCUUCGGGUUGUAAACUGCUUUUGUACGGAACGAAACGGCUCUGGUUAAUACCCGGGGCUAAUGACGGUACCGUAAGAAUAAGCACCGGCUAACUACGUG